rnacentral:rRNA from 1 species
CCGUUGCCGGCGACCGGCGCACGGGUGAGUAACACGUAUGCAACCUGCCCGUGGCAGGGGGAUAAGCGGGGGAAACCCCGUCUAAUGCCGCGUAACGCGGCCUUGGGGCAUCCCAAGGCCGCCAAAGGGAGCAAUCCCGGCCACGGAUGGGCAUGCGGCGCAUUAGCUAGUCGGCGGGGUAACGGCCCACCGAGGCGACGAUGCGUAGGGGUUCUGAGAGGAAGGUCCCCCACACUGGUACUGAGACACGGACCAGACUCCUACGGAAGGCAGCAG